AACGAACGCUGGCGGCAUGCCUAACACAUGCAAGUCGAACGAGACCUUCGGGUCUAGUGGCGCACGGGUGCGUAACGCGUGGGAACCUGCCCUUAGGUUCGGAAUAACUCCCCGAAAGGGGUGCUAAUACCGGAUAAUGUCUUCGGACCAAAGAUUUAUCGCCUUUGGAUGGGCCCGCGUUGGAUUAGCUAGUUGGUAGGGUAAAAGCCUACCAAGGCGACGAUCCAUAGCUGGUCUGAGAGGAUGAUCAGCCACACUGGGACUGAGACAAGGCCCAGACUCCUACGGGAGGGCGCAAGGGGGAAAAUUGGAAAAGGGGGGGAAGCCGGAUCCCGCCAGGCCGGGGGGGUGAUGAAGGGCUUAGGGUUUGAAAGCCCUUUUACCCGGGACGGUAAGGAGAGUACCGGGGAAAAAGGCCCCGGCUAACCCCGG
rnacentral:rRNA from 1 species